GGGAAAUAAAUAAACAAUAUGGAACGAACUCACUCCGUUUGAGGUCCCAGAACGUGGAUUACAAGCUGCGGCAAUAUUCUGGUUCUGGAACACCGCAUGCAUGGCCGGCAUGGGAUCUUGUGCAUCUCAGGAUAACUGUGAGUCUGUACCGUCCUUGUUCUUCUGAUCUUGCACGUUAUUUUUGCCAUUUGUUCGAAGAUUGGUGGUUGAAUCGGAGAGCAAAACGGUUCUCUUUACUUUGUCUUUUUUUUUUUUUUUUUUUUUGUAUACCAGGUUUUGGUAGCUUACGCUCUGGUUAGAAUAUUGC